rnacentral:lncRNA from 1 species
UGACAAAAGAGAUGUGGUAUUUCAGGAGAGAGACCUUCCUGGGAGUUUUCCUGGCCACAGCCAAGUUGUUGGCCAUUCAAAACUAAGCAAGGUGGAGGAACCCACCGAGAUCCCAGGUCCCAAACCCUCUCUGAAGCAGUUUUGGAACAAAUAUUCUAAGUCAUCAAUGCAAAGCGAAGCAAUAGCCACCCAAGACACAGUCGGAGCAAUGCAGCAGGGGUGGAGAUUCCGACUCAUACGAGAUCAUCAGUACCUUUCCCCAGAGGGUGUAUGCGGACAACUCCAGGAGCCUGCAGGAAUGUGGGCUGAUCCCCAGUGCCUCCUUGCUGCUGCGGAGAAGAGACCCCUUCCCACCAGAGAGGACAGGGCUGCAAACAGCCUAGCAGCUCCUCUGCAGGAGGAAGGAGCUAUCUUGCGCUGUUAGCUGAAUUACAACAUCCC